rnacentral:tRNA from 1 species
GCGUCAGUCGCAUAGUGGCAAUUGCACGAGACUGUAAAUCUCGCGGCCUUUUGGCCUACGGGGGUUCGAGUCCCUCCUGGCGCACAA